rnacentral:SRP_RNA from 1 species
GCCAGGCACAGUGGCGCGUGCCUGUAGUCCCAGCUACUUGGGAGGUUGAGGCUGGAAGAUUACUUGAGUCCAGGAGUUCUGGGUUGUAGUGCGCUAUGCCGAUGGGGUGUCCCACUAACUUCGGCAUCAAUAUGGUGACCUCCCGGAAGCGGUGGACCACCAGAUUACUUAAAGAGGAGUGAAUCGGCCCAAGUCUGAAACGGAGCAGGUCAAAACUCCGUGCUAAUCAUUAGUGGGAUCGAGCCUGUGAAUAGCCACUGCACUCCAGCCUGAGCUACAUAGCGAGACCCCGUUUCU